GCAGCUCUUUUUGCUGCAAGCACUGCGAAAUUAACUGCAUCCAAUCUUGCUGGACAUAUACGAGGAGGAAGAGAACUCAACUUCCUCUUUGCAUUGUUUCUUAUCAAAGGACAGAAGAUUUGGGUGGUGGUUAAGGAAAUGAUGUCUGUUUUGUACAUUCUCUGGCAUGACAGAUGAGCUAAAUGACCAACUAAUCAAGAUAACACGUCCUCUUGAGAAAUGCCUGGGAAUCUCCUGAAAUCAAUCCUUGUUUAGAAAAGUAUAGGUCUAAAUGUAUGUGGGUUUAUUUAAUUUCUUACUUAGUUAUUUUUUCCAAAGGUAAAUUAGCAUACAAUCAGAUUUCCUAAGUGAAGGGACUCCAGAAAGGCAAAAAAGUUAUUGUUUUAGUGUAUGGGAACUGUUGGGUCACGGCCUGAACCACUGAUUGAUCACUUGAGACAAGGACUGAGUCAGCCAUGGGAGCACAGGUGAAGGCAAUUCACCUGUGUGGCAGGAGUCUGGCUCCACCCCUCCUAGACCCCAUUAAAGGGCUGACUGCAACCUGGGAGCAUUCUUUUUCUGGAGAUCUAUCCUCUGUGGAGUCCUUCCUGUGAACCUGGAUCUUUGGAUACAGAUGGAAAACCUAAGUGCCUCCUGGUGGUCUAUUAAAUACCGGAGAAGAGAGAGGACAACCGAAGCAGUGAGGGAACAGAAACAGAAUUGCCUUCAGAGACAGACACAGUCAGGUCUCACAGGCAGACUUCACAGUAUGGAUAUUUCAGCAUACUGAAUAGUAUCUGAGCAUUUUCAUCCCAGCACAAUUUGGUGUAUUUACUCCUUUGUAAGUUUUAAUUCCUCUUAAGGGGAAUGAUCCUAUCAACAUAUAGAGGUCAUAAGGACUGUUGCAUGAUCAGAUUAACUUCUAUUUUAUUGCCUCCAAUACGUAGGUCAGUUUUGCUGAAUUCUGGAUACAGUUUCUGUUCUGUUUCCUGGCUACGCUUUCCAUUUAAUUGCCAGCAUACUCCGUCUCUCUUACUAUUUAUUGCUUAAUUUAUAUUACAAGGCUUGCUCCAGAAGUAAUGCCUCCUAUUUUGUUGGCUCACAACAUCAGAUGCAGAUGUUACUGGUAUGCUAGUAGAGGCUGAAUCUUCCUAUAUUCCAUUACAUCUUAUUGCCGUGUGACAGAUUACAGCAGAGGGGCAGUCUGACAGAAUGGUGUCUGACAUGUAAGAGCGUAUGAAGCAAAGGUGUGGAAUUAGUUCCUCCAUGCAGAAAAUGGCAGCCAUUAACAUUCACAGAUGCCUGCUGAGUUGUUAUGGAGACUGAACAAUGGAUGUGAACACAGUGAGGUGGUGGGUAGCGUAUUUUGGGGAGAGUGAUAGUGGGUCACCUCUACUGGCGCAGAUUUGUUAUGAAUGUGGCAUGCAGGCUUUUGCUUAUUGCUGGCAAAAAAAAAAAAAA